rnacentral:rRNA from 1 species
GCGAGUUGAGAGAUUGAUCGCCAACACUGGGACUGAGACACUGCCCAGACUCCUACGGGAGGCUGCAGUCGAGAAUCAUUCGCAAUGGGCGAAAGCCUGACGAUGCGACGCCGUGUGAGCGAAGAAGGCUUUUUUUAGUUGUAAAGUUCUUUCGCCCGUGAUCAAGAGAGGUUGACCAAUAAUCAACCAAUUUGAGGGUAGCGGGUAAAGAAGCACCGGCUAACUCCGUGCCAGCAGCUGCGGUAAUACGGAGGGUGCGAGCAUUAAUCGGAUUUAUUGGGCGUAAAGGGCGCGUAGGCGGGAAAGUAAGUCAUGCGUGAAAUUACGAGGCUCAACCUCGUAGCUGCACAUGAAACUACUUUUCUGGAGAAUUGGCGGAGAAAAUGGAAUUCCAUGUGUAGCGGUGAAAUGCGUAGAUAUAUGGAAGAACACCUGUGGCGAAAGCGGUUUUCUAGCUUAUUUCUGACGCUGAGGCGCGAGAGCAAGGGGAGCGAACAGGAUUAGAUACCCUGGUAGUCCUUGCCGUAAACGAUGUAUACUUGGCGUAACUGGUCUCAACCCCAGUUGUGUCGUAGCUAACGUGUUAAGUAUACCGCCUGGGGAGUAUGCCCGCAAGGGUGAAACUCAAAAGAAUUGACGGGGACCCGCACAAGCAGUGGGACAUGUGGUUUAAUUCGAUGCUACGCGAAGAACCUUACCCAGGCUUGACAUGUAAAAGACGCCAUCAGAGAUGAUGGCUUCGUAAGACUUUUAUACAGGUGCUGCAUGGCUGUCGUCAGCUCGUGCCGUGAGGUGUUGGGUUAAGUCCCGCAACGAGCGCAACCCUUAUCGUUAGUUGCCAACAUUUCGGAUGGGAACUCUAACGAGACCGCCUCGGUUAACGGGGAGGAAGGUGAGGAUGACGUUAAGUCAGCAUGGCCCUUAUGUCUGGGGCUACACACGUGUUACAAUGGCCGAUACAGAAAGUAGCAAUACCGCGAAGUGGAGCAAAUCUUUAAAGUCGGUCCCAGUUCGGAUUGCAGUCUGCAACUCGACUGCAUGAAGUUGGAAUUGCUAGUAAUGGCGCGUCAGCUACAGCGCCGUGAAUACGUUCUCGGGUCUUGUACACACCGCCCGUCACAUCAUGGAAGUUGGUUCUACCCGAAGUCACUGACUCAACCGCAAGGAGAGAGGUGCCUAAGGUAGGGCUGGUAACUGGGAUGAAGUCGUAACAAGGUA